GUCCAUUCCAGGGAGAUCCCCGGCAAGGGGCUGAGAAACCGCUGGCACGCCGGAUCAUCCGGAUGAACGCGCGGAAAUCCUUAGAACCUGAUCCGGUUCAUACCGGCGGAGGGAUUGGAUUUCGCGCGCAAG
rnacentral:ncRNA from 2 species